GUCGAACGAUGAACCACUUCGGUGGGGAUUAGUGGCGAACGGGUGAGUAACACGUGGGCAAUCUGCCCUGCACUCUGGGACAAGCCCUGGAAACGGGGUCUAAUACCGGAUACUGAUCCUCGCAGGCAUCUGCGAGGUUCGAAAGCUCCGGCGGUGCAGGAUGAGCCCGCGGCCUAUCAGCUAGUUGGUGAGGUAACGGCUCACCAAGGCGACGACGGGUAGCCGGCCUGAGAGGGCGACCGGCCACACUGGGACUGAGACACGGCCCAGACUCCUACGGGAGGCAGCAGUGGGGAAUAUUGCACAAUGGGCGAAAGCCUGAUGCAGCGACGCCGCGUGAGGGAUGACGGCCUUCGGGUUGUAAACCUCUUUCAGCAGGGAAGAAGCGAAAGUGACGGUACCUGCAGAAGAAGCGCCGGCUAACUACGUGCCAGCAGCCGCGGUAAUACGUAGGGCGCAAGCGUUGUCCGGAAUUAUUGGGCGUAAAGAGCUCGUAGGCGGCUUGUCACGUCGGUUGUGAAAGCCCGGGGCUUAACCCCGGGUCUGCAGUCGAUACGGGCAGGCUAGAGUUCGGUAGGGGAGAUCGGAAUUCCUGGUGUAGCGGUGAAAUGCGCAGAUAUCAGGAGGAACACCGGUGGCGAAGGCGGAUCUCUGGGCCGAUACUGACGCUGAGGAGCGAAAGCGUGGGGAGCGAACAGGAUUAGAUACCCUGGUAGUCCACGCCGUAAACGGUGGGCACUAGGUGUGGGCAACAUUCCACGUUGUCCGUGCCGCAGCUAACGCAUUAAGUGCCCCGCCUGGGGAGUACGGCCGCAAGGCUAAACUCAAGGAAUUGACGGGGCCCGCACAGCGGCGGAGCAUGUGGCUUAAUUCGACGCAACGCGAAGAACCUUACCAAGGCUUGACAUACACCGGAAAACCCUGGAGACAGGGUCCCCCUUGUGGUCGGUGUACAGGUGGUGCAUGGCUGUCGUCAGCUCGUGUCGUGAGAUGUUGGGUUAAGUCCCGCAACGAGCGCAACCCUUGUCCCGUGUUGCCAGCAGGCCCUUGUGGUGCUGGGGACUCACGGGAGACCGCCGGGGUCAACUCGGAGGAAGGUGGGGACGACGUCAAGUCAUCAUGCCCCUUAUGUCUUGGGCUGCACACGUGCUACAAUGGCCGGUACAAUGAGCUGCGAUACCGCGAGGUGGAGCGAAUCUCAAAAAGCCGGUCUCAGUUCGGAUUGGGGUCUGCAACUCGACCCCAUGAAGUCGGAGUCGCUAGUAAUCGCAGAUCAGCAUUGCUGCGGUGAAUACGUUCCCGGGCCUUGUACACACCGCCCGUCACGUCACGAAAGUCGGUAACACCCGAAGCCGGUGGCC
rnacentral:rRNA from 1 species